rnacentral:rRNA from 3 species
UAGGGAAUAUUGGUAAUGGGCGAAAGCCUGAACCAGCAACGCCGCGUGUGCGAAGAAGGCCUUCGGGUUGUAAAGCACUUUUUAAGGGGAUGAGGAAGGACAGUACCCUUAGAAUAAGCCUCGGCUAACUACGUGCCAGCAGCCGCGGUAACACGUAGGAGGCAAGCGUUAUUCGGAUUUACUGGGCGUAAAGCGCGUGCAGGCGGUUUGGUAAGUUGGAUGUGAAAGCUCCCGGCCUAACUGGGAGAGGUCGUUCAAUACUACCAGACUAGAGGAUGGGAGAGGGAGGUGGAAUUCCGGGUGUAGUGGUGAAAUGCGUAGAUAUCCGGAGGAACACCAGUGGCGAAAGCGGCCUCCUGGCCCAUUUCUGACGCUCAGACGCGAAAGCUAGGGUAGCAAACGGG